GCCAUUUGGAGCUGGGCGUCAUCGUUGUAUUGGGGAAAAUUUUGCCUAUGUUCAAAUUAAGACAAUUUGGUCCACUAUGCUUCGUUUAUAUGAAUUUGAUCUCAUUGAUGGAUACUUUCCCACUGUGAAUUAUACAACUAUGAUUCACACCCCUGAAAACCCAGUUAUCCGUUACAAACGAAGAUCAAAAUGAAAAAGGUUGCAAGGAACGAAUAUAUGUGAUUAUCACUGUAAGCCACAAAGGCAUUCGAAGAGAAUGAAGUGUACAAAACAACUCUUGUAGUUUACUGUUUUUUUAAGUGUGUAAUUCUAAAAGCCAGUUUAUGAUUUAGGAUUUUGUUAACUGAAUGGUUCUAUCAAAUAUAAUAGCAUUUGAAACAUUUUCUAAUAGUUAUGAUACUUAUACAUGUGCUUUCAGGAAGUUCCUUGGUGAAACAAUUGUUGAGGGGGGAUCUAGGUAAUUGGCAGAUUCUAAAUAAUAUAAUUUCCAGAUAGUAAUUUUAAGAGUACUCAUCGCUCUUGCCAAAUAAGUUCAGGGUAUUCAAAUCUUGGACUAGUCCUGCAAGGUAUAAAGAAUAAAAAUCCCAGUGAGAUACUUGGAAACCACAGUUUAUUAUUAUUUAUCUGGGCAAUUAUUGUGUGUGUGAGGAUGGAAGGGUAGGGAAUAAUCGAACAUCUAAAGCCUUGAAUAAGAGAAUACUAAUUGUUUUGGUAUGAUGAUACUCAGAAAUGGAGAUAUUAUAGGAAAAAGAAAUCCUUUGGAAUUUUAACUAAAAUCACUGCAUAUGGGAAAUUAAGAGAUCCAGGACCAUAUUUGAUAAGAGUUCCUAAAAAUAAUGUAAUUAUUAAUGCUAAAGACUGCUCAUGUAUCUUGAUCUAAUUACUAAAUAAUUACAUAUUUAUUUACCUGAUAAAUAUGUAUCUAGUUCUACAAGGUCACAUUUAUGUGGAAGUCCAAAGUCAAGUCCUUAGGGGAUAAUUUUGUUUUGGCUCAGUUGUUCCCUGCUUCCUUUUUUUUUUUUUUUUUUUGAGAUGGAGUCUCGCUCUGUUGCCCAGGCUGGAGUGCAGUGGUGCGAUCUCAGCUCACUGCAUCCUCUGCCUCCCGGGUUCAAGCAAUUCUCUGCCUCAGCCUCCCAAGUAGUUGGGAUUACAGGCACCUGCCACCAUGCCUGGCUAAUUUUUUGUAUUUUUAGUAGAGACGGGGGUUUCACUAUGUUGGCUAGGCUGGUCUUGAACUCCUGACCUCGUGAUCCACCCGCCUUGGCCUCCCAAAGUGCUGGGAUUACAGGCAUGAGCCACCGCACCUGGCCUUCCCUGCUUCCUCUCUAGAAUCCAAUUAGGGAUGUUUGUUACUACUCAUAUUGAUUAAAACAGUUAACAAACUUUUUUCUUUUUAAAAUGUGAGAUCAGUGAACUCUGGUUUUAAGAUAAUCUGAAACAAGGUCCUUGGGAGUAAUAAAAUUGGUCACAUUCUGUAAAGCACAUUCUGUUUAGGAAUCAACUUAUCUCAAAUUGUAACUCGGGGCCUAACUAUAUGAGAUGGCUGAAAAAAUACCACAUCGUCUGUUUUCACUAGGUGAUGCCAAAAUAUUUUGCUUUAUGUAUAUUACAGUUCUUUUUAAAACACUGGAAGACUCAUGUUAAACUCUAAUUGUGAAGGCAGAAUCUCUGCUAAUUUUUCAGAUUAAAAUUCUCUUUG
rnacentral:lncRNA from 1 species